rnacentral:lncRNA from 1 species
GGAUGAAGAUUUAAUUUUGAUGUGCUAUGCCUAAGAGAUAGUAAUGACAAGAAAAUCUUAAAUUUUAUCCUAAAUUAUAUAUGAAAUCUGAAAGUUGGAUCUAUCUUUGAUUGAUUUAAUAUACAAAGAUAUUUUUAUUUUUGAUAAACUUAGAUAAUUUGGUAAGUUGAGAUCAGAGUGCGUAGCAAAAACGUGAUGGUCUGAAUUGAUUAGAAAUAUUAAUCCUUUAAAU